UGGUCGAGACAGGCUUCUCUGAGAGGUGGCUGGCCCAACGCGUGAGAACCAGGGGCCACAGGUGACGCAUUUAGGAUAAUUUCCCAAAGUUUGCGCCUCAGAGUAGUAGUUCCAAAGGAGAUUAAACUUAGAAAAAAGGGCUCAAUGACCAAAGAAUUUUAAGAAAUGCUGAAUUAAAGAUUCCUUAUUUGCUGCAAUACUGGUCAGAGGCCUUUCACAUGCUAACGGGAUAUUCUCCAAGAGAGGAGAUACCCUCAUCUCCAAUUACUGUCUUUAGUUUAAAAAAAAGAAAAGGAAAGGUGUUUGGAGUGGCAGAGAUAAUGCUGUUUUUCACCAAAUCUUCCUUCCCUCUUUCCGGAUACCCAGGAAGACCACAUUCCCAGCCUCCCUUCAAGUUAGGUUGGAGAUCAUAACUAAUUCUGGCCUCUGGGCUGGGAGUGGAAGUAACACGGGUCUUUUCUGAGCCAAAGCACUUCAGAGCUGGCACAAGCCUCCAGUUCCCUCUCCCCUGCCUCAGUGAUGGGCCUCCGUGCAGGCACAAGGUGGAAGCAAUUCGAAUCAGGGAGUCACCUGACUCAGAAGACUUCUCACCAGCCAGAGAAGCCCUUGCGUUCGGCCACCGAAAUGUCACCGCAGUGCGCUGAGCCCUCCUGACUAAUACAUUACGGAAAUAUGUCCAGGGAAAAGGCUGCUACACACACUGGAAAGGCAGAUCUGCCGUCCUGAGUGACACCACACUCACGCAUAACUGUCUGCAGAGGCAACCUUGGCUAGAGCUGUGGCCUGCAGAGAAAACCAUGCCUACUGUGUGGGCACAGCAGGUGCAAAGCAGGGACACUGGGGGAGCUGAUGCGAAAGUGGUUGUCCUUGGCGUCUAGACUGAGGGAGACAGGGAUGUGGUCAGAGGAAAUUCUGGAGGUGCAGGAUAUGGAGGAGGAGCAGUUCUGCAAGAACCUGACUGGCUGGGUGGCCUCGUUACAGCUGCGGAGGCCUGUGCAGAGCUGGGACAAAGGGAGGCCAGGUUCAAGCCCCAGAACUAGCCUGAUGAGCAAACUGCAGCUCAGAGAUGUUAAGCAACUUGCCCGAGGUCUCACAGCCGGCAGCAGGCUGAGCUGAGAGUCAAACACAAGCCCUUGAACUCCACUUGGCCAGACUGACCGCAGGAUCUCCGUCAUUCGGUCUAUAGGCCGGUUAUUACAGACCCAGCUCUGGUGAAUGUGGGACCUGAUGCCAAGUGAGCUGUGGGGGGCCCUGUUGGGGCUCCUGCCAUGUGGUCUGAGGCAUCCACAGUCUCCCCUGGCCCGAGGAGUGCCCAAGUGCAGCGAGAUGCCGUC